rnacentral:ncRNA from 1 species
UGAUAGAGGUGCGGACGUCAUCAGUACCCUCGCUCACCGGCAGGUCACCGGGAGGGGAAAGGGGCGGCCGCCGAAGGGUUCCGCAGGUGCCUGCCGCGGGAUUGCCUGGGCCGUCGGAGAAUAUCCGCCGGACUGCCGCAAUAUGCGGAGCGCUGUC